AUGACAACAGAAGACACAGAAAUCCUCCUCAUCAAAAACAUGACUUUGAUCUGCGUCCUCAUCUGGACUCUCCUCUGCUGCUGCUUCACAGAGUCUAAAAUCCAGCCCACAGUGACUCAGCCUGCAGCAGUGAGCUCCUUGAUAGGAGGAACCGUCACCAUCAGUUGCAGGACCAGUCAUAAUGUUUUUGGCUCCAACCGUUUAGACUGGUACCAGCAGAAAGGUGGAGAGGUUACUAAGCUGCUGGUUUACUCCACCAGCACUCGAGCAUCAGGGACUCCAAGUCGUUUUACAGGCAGUGGAUCAAACUCUGACUUCACUCUGACCAUCAGUGGAGUUCAGGCUGAAGAUGCUGCAGUUUACUACUGUAACGGGGAGUUCCCUUUAAGCACUCAUGAGUACUUCACACAGUGA